rnacentral:tRNA from 1 species
UGCGGGGUAGCCAAGCUGGUAAGGCGUCAGACUUUGACUCUGAAAAUGCGGAGGUUCGAACCCUCCCCUCGCAA